rnacentral:rRNA from 1 species
GACAGAGGGGGCAAGCGUUGUUCGGAAUUACUGGGCGUAAAGGGCUCGUAGGCGGCCAACUAAGUCAGACGUGAAAUCCCUCGGCUUAACCGGGGAACUGCGUCUGAUACUGGAUGGCUUGAGUGUGGGAGAGGGAUGCGGAAUUCCAGGUGUAGCGGUGAAAUGCGUAGAUAUCUGGAGGAACACCGGUGGCGAAGGCGGCAUCCUGGACCAUUACUGACACUGAAAAGCGAAAGCCAGGGGAGCAAACGGG